rnacentral:misc_RNA from 1 species
GAUGAAGAACGUAGCGAAAUGCGAUAAGUAGUGUGAAUUGCAGAAUUCCGUGAAUCAUCGAAUCUUUGAACGCACAUUGCGCCCCCUGGUAUUCCGGGGGGCAUGCCUGUCCGAGCGUCAUUGCUGCCCUCAAGCCCGGCUUGUGUGUUGGGUCUCGUCCCCCUUCCCGGGGGGACGGGCCCGAAAGGCAGCGGCGGCACCGCGUCCGGUCCUCGAGCGUAUGGGGCUUUGUCACCCGCUCUGUAGGCCCGGCCGGCGCUUGCCGAUCAACCAAAACUUUUUUCCAGGUUGACCUCGGAUCAGGUAGGGAUACCCGCUGAACUUAAGCAUAUCAAUAAGCGGAGGA